AUUGAACGCUGGCGGCAGGCCUAACACAUGCAAGUCGAGCGGAUGAAGGGAGCUUGCUCCUGGAUUCAGCGGCGGACGGGUGAGUAAUGCCUAGGAAUCUGCCUGGUAGUGGGGGAUAACGUCCAGAAACGGGCGCUAAUACCGCAUACGUCCUGAGGGAGAAAGUGGGGGAUCUGCGGACCUCACGCUGUCAGAUGAGCCUAGGUCGGAUUAGCUAGUUGGUGGGGUAAAGGCCUACCAAGGCGACGAUCCGUAACUGGUCUGAGAGGAUGAUCAGUCACACUGGAACUGAGACACGGUCCAGACUCCUACGGGAGGCAGAAGUGGGGAAUAUUGGACGAUGGGCGGAAGCCUGAUCCAGCCAUGCCGCGUGUGUGAAGAAGGUCUUCGGAUUGUAAAGCACUUUAAGUGGGGAGGAAGGGCAGUACGUUAAUACCUUGCUGUUUUGACGGUACCAACAGAAUAAGCACCGGCUAACUUCGUG
rnacentral:rRNA from 1 species